CCAUUUGCUUUUUCAUGUCCGUUAGUUGAUCCUGCAUUUUUUUCAGCUCUUCUUGAUGAGUCUUGAGAGUUUCUUGCUGACUCUGCUCAGCUUUCUGUGCUGUCUGCUCCACAUUUUUCUGAAGCUGAACAGCCUUUUCAUUUGCUUUUGUAAGCUCAAGUUGUAUUUGCUCCAACUGCCUUUCUUUUAACCGUAGCUCAUCAU
rnacentral:lncRNA from 1 species